rnacentral:rRNA from 1 species
AGCGAACGCUGGCGGCGUGCCUAACACAUGCAAGUCGAACGUGAAAAGGGAAACCUGAGUAAAGUGGCGUACGGGUGAGUAACGCGUAGGUAAUCUACCCCAGAAUCUGGAAUAACCUGCCGAAAGGCGGGCUAAUACUGGAUAGAGCGAGGGAACUCGUAAGAGAGUUUUUCGGGAAAGGGAGCCCGCAAGGGCCUUCGUUCUGGGAUGAGCCUGCGUCUCAUUAGCUAGUUGGUAAGGUAACGGCUUACCAAGGCGAUGAUGAGUAGCUGGUCUGAGAGGAUGAUCAGCCACACUGGAACUGAAACACGGUCCAGACUCCUACGGGAGGCAGCAGUGGGGAAUCUUGCGCAAUGGACGAAAGUCUGACGCAGCCACGCCGCGUGAGUGAAGAAGGCCUUCGGGUUGUAAAGCUCUGUCGGAUGGGACGAACAUCUUCAUAGUGAAUAGCUAUGAGGACUGACGGUACCACCAAAGGAAGCACCGGCUAACUCCGUA